rnacentral:rRNA from 1 species
CCUACGGGGGACAGCAGUGGGGAAUAUUGGGCAAUGGAGGAAACUCUGACCCAGCAACGCCGCGUGAAGGAUGAAGUUCUUCGGAUUGUAAACUUCUGUCGCGAGGGAUGAAGAUUGCCGUUCCCGCGCAAGAAAGCCCCGGCAAACUACGUGCCAGCAGCCGCGGGAAUACGUAGGGGGCGAGCGUUUUCCGGAUUGCCUGGGCGUAAGGGGAGGGUAGGCGGCAGAGUAAGUUGUGUGUGAAAGCCCGCGGCUCACCCGCGGAAUUGCACAGAAAACUGGUUAGCUGGAGUGCAGGAGGGGUAAGUGGAAUUCCCGGUGUAGCGGUGGAAUGCGUAGAUAUCGGGAGGAACACCAGAGGCGAAGGCGACUUACUGGACUGUAACUGACGCUGAGGCUCGAAAGCGUGGGGAGCAAACAGGAUUAGAUACCCUAGUAGUC